rnacentral:ncRNA from 1 species
UUCUCCUCAUAAAAUUGGGGGUGAUGAGGUCAACCCCUAACCUCAUAGUCGGACACUUGGUCCAAUGGAGGAUCCAGAAUUUUACGGAUGGUGGCUCACUAUCAACUACCGACCACUUUGUAACCAAUUCAUAUAGAUCGUUUGUACAGAGAGACUUUUUGGGUGCUAAGAUCCAAAGUCGAGAUGGAAACAACCCAGACCAUACGCUAAGGUCCCUAAGCAAUCACUUAAAGGAAAAGGAAGUGAUCGAGCGAUGACAACCAGGAGGUGGGAUCGGAAGCAACCAUCCUUUGAAGAAAGCGUAAUAGCUCACUGGUCUAGCUCCAUGGCACCGAAAAUGUAGUAGGGCUCAAGUGAUUCAUCGAAGCGACGAGACCUUGAAAGCUGCUUUUUCAAGUGUCAGUAGCGGGACGUUAUGUCAACCGGGGAAAGUUUUUGGUGACAACACAUGGAGAUAUCAGAACUA